rnacentral:rRNA from 1 species
UACGAAGGGGGCUAGCGUUGUUCGGAUUUACUGGGCGUAAAGCGCACGUAGGCGGACUAUUAAGUCAGGGGUGAAAUCCCGGGGCUCAACCCCGGAACUGCCUUUGAUACUGGUAGUCUUGAGUUCGAGAGAGGUGAGUGGAAUUCCGAGUGUAGAGGUGAAAUUCGUAGAUAUUCGGAGGAACACCAGUGGCGAAGGCGGCUCACUGGCUCGAUACUGACGCUGAGGUGCGAAAGCUAGGGGAGCGAACGGG